UUUCCGUAGGUGAACCUGCGGAAGGAUCAUUAUUGUAUAACCGAGGUGCGAGGGCUGUCGCUGACCCGACAGGUCGUGCACGCCCGAGGGCCCUCACACACAUCCAUCUCACCCCUAUGUGCACCACCGCGUGGGUCCCCCUUUGGCUUGUUCGGAGGGGGGCUUACGUUUUCACACAAACUUUGUAUGCAGUGUAGAAUGUAUUUUUUGUUUUUGCGAUCACGCGAUCAAUACAACUUUCAACAACGGAUCUCUUGGCUCUC
rnacentral:misc_RNA from 1 species